UACGUAGGGUGCGAGCGUUAAUCGGAAUUACUGGGCGUAAAGCGUGCGCAGGCGGUGAUGUAAGACAGAUGUGAAAUCCCCGGGCUCAACCUGGGACCUGCAUUUGUGACUGCAUCGCUAGAGUACGGUAGAGGGGGAUGGAAUUCCGCGUGUAGCAGUGAAAUGCGUAGAUAUGCGGAGGAACACCGAUGGCGAAGGCAAUCCCCCUGGACCUGUACUGACGCUC
rnacentral:rRNA from 1 species